rnacentral:rRNA from 1 species
CCUACGGGUGGCAGCAGUGAGGAAUAUUGGUCAAUGGGCGAAAGCCUGAACCAGCCAUGCCGCGUGCAGGAAGACGGCUCUAUGAGUUGUAAACUGCUUUUGUACGAGGGUAAACACAGAUACGUGUAUCUGCUUGAAAGUAUCGUACGAAUAAGGAUCGGCUAACUCCGUGCCAGCAGCCGCGGUAAUACGGAGGAUCCAAGCGUUAUCCGGAUUUAUUGGGUUUAAAGGGUGCGUAGGCGGUUUAGUAAGUUAGCGGUGAAAUUUUGAUGCUCAACUCCAAAAGUGCCGUUGAUACUGUUCGGCUAGAGAGUAGUUGCGGUAGGCGGAAUGUAUGGUGUAGCGGUGAAAUGCUUAGAGAUCACACAGAACACCGAUUGCGAAGGCAGCCUGCCAAAGUGUUACUGACGUUGAAGCUCGAAAGCGCGGGUAGCGAACAGGAUUAGAUACCCGUGUAGUC